rnacentral:rRNA from 1 species
UGGGGAAUAUUGGACAAUGGGCGAAAGCCUGAUCCAGCCAUGCCGCGUGUGUGAAGAAGGUCUUCGGAUUGUAAAGCACUUUAAGUUGGGAGGAAGGGUUGUAACCUAAUACGUUGCAAUCUUGACGUUACCGACAGAAUAAGCACCGGCUAACUCUGUGCCAGCAGCCGCGGUAAUACAGAGGGUGCAAGCGUUAAUCGGAAUUACUGGGCGUAAAGCGCGCGUAGGUGGUUCGUUAAGUUGGAUGUGAAAUCCCCGGGCUCAACCUGGGAACUGCAUUCAAAACUGACGAGCUAGAGUAUGGUAGAGGGU